rnacentral:rRNA from 1 species
GCUUGUCUCAAAGAUUAAGCCAUGCAUGUCUAAGUAUAAGCCUUUAUAUGGUGAGACUGCGAAUGGCUCAUUAAAUCAGAAACUGUUUAUUUGAUAGUGCCUACUACAUGGAUACCUGUAGUAAUUCUAGAGCUAAUACAUGCUGGCGUGCCCGACUUUUGUGGAAGGGCGGUAUUUAUUAGAUAACAAGCCAAUAUUCCUCACGGUCUAUUGUGGUGACUCAUAAUAACUGAUCGAAUCGCAAGGCCCUUGGCCGCGAUAAGUCAUUCAAGUUUCUGCCCCAUCAGCUUUCGAUGGUAGUGUAUUGGACUACCAUGGCGUUCACGGGUAACGGAGAAUUAGGGUUCGAUUCCGGAGAGGGAGCCUGAGAAACGGCUACCACAUCUAAGGAAGGCAGCAGG